rnacentral:rRNA from 1 species
GUGUCAGCAGCCGCGGUAAGACAGAGGGUGCAAACGUUGUUCGGAAUUACUGGGCGUAAAGCGCGUGUAGGCGGCCGCGCAAGUCGGAUGUGAAAGCCCUCGGCUCAACUGAGGAAGCGCACCCGAAACUGCGUGGCUAGAGUCCCGGAGAGGAAGGUGGAAUGCUUGGUGUAGAGGUGAAAUUCGUAGAUAUCAAGCGGAACACCGGUGGCGAAGGCGGCCUUCUGGACGGUGACUGACGCUGAGACGCGAAAGCGUGGGGAGCAAACAGGAUUAGAAACCCGCGUAGUCC